rnacentral:rRNA from 1 species
GACGAACGCUGGCGGCGUGCUUAACACAUGCAAGUCGAGCGAUGAAUUUUCUUCGGAAAUGGAUUAGCGGCGAACGGGUGAGGAACACGUGAAGAAUCUGCCCUCCACUUUGGGAUAACACAGGGAAACCUGUGCUAAUACCGAAUAUUGAAACAUAAGUGGCAUUACUGAGUUUUGAAAGAAUUUCGGUGGAGGAUGACUUCGCGGCCUAUCAGCUAGUUGGUGAGGUAAUGGCUCACCAAGGCAACGACGGGUAGCCGGCCUGAGAGGGCGACCGGCCACACUGGGACUGGGACACGGCCCAGACUCCUACGGGAGGCAGCAGUUGGGAAUAUUGGGCAAUGGAGGAAACUCUGACCCAGCGACGCCGCGUGCGGGAUGAAGGCCUUCGGGUUGUAAACCGCUUUCAGUAGGGAAGAAGCGAAAGUGACGGUACCUACAAAAGAAGCACCGGCUAACUAUGUGCCAGCCGCCGCGGUAA